CUAUGACUUUAUUUAGGUCAUGGCGGAAGGAG
rnacentral:ncRNA from 1 species